GGUUGAUCCUGCCAGUAGUCAUAUGCUUGUCCCAAAGAUUAAGCCAUGCAUGUCCAAGUAUAAACCCUUGUACGGUGAAACUGCGAACGGCUCAUUAUAACAGUGACAAUUUACUUGAAGAAUAUUUACCAGAGGAUAACCGUGGUAAUUCUAGGGCUAAUACAUGCAUAUUGCAUUUAUUAGAUGGACCAGAGUGCGGGAGGGGCAACUCUCUCGCAUCAGGUGAAACAUAAUAACUGGGCGGAUCGCAUGGCAUUGACCGGCGACGCUUCAAGCAAGUCUCUGCCCUAUCA
rnacentral:rRNA from 1 species